AUCGCUCAUAGCGUAUAUAAGUUGUUGCGGUUAAAAGCUCGUAGUUGGAUUUCAGUUCUGGACUGACGGUUCACCGCCCGGUGCAUACUGUCACGCUCCGAACAGCCACAACAGCCCGCUGGCUCGCACGGGGUGCUCUUCAUCGAGUGUCCCGCGUGGCCGGCAGAGUUUACUUUGAAAAAAUUAGAGUGCUCAAAGCAGGCUACACUUACGGCCUGAAUGCCUAUGCAUGGAAUAAUGGAAUAGGACCUCGGUUCUAUUUUGUCGGUUUUCUGAACCCGAGGUAAUGACUAAUAGGAACAGGCGGGGGCAUUCGUAUUGCGACGCUAGAGGUGAAAUUCUUGGACCGUCGCAAGACGAACUACUGCGAAAGCAUUUGCCAAGGAUGUUUUCAUUAAUCAAGAACGAAAGUUAGAGGUUCGAAGACGAUCGAAAUACCGCCA
rnacentral:rRNA from 1 species